rnacentral:rRNA from 1 species
GCCCUAGUAACGGCGAGUGAAGCGGCAACAGCUCAAAUUUGAAAUCUGGCGUCUUUGGCGUCCGAGUUGUAAUUUGCAGAGGGCGCUUUGGCAUUGGCAGCGGUCCAAGUUCCUUGGAACAGGACGUCACAGAGGGUGAGAAUCCCGUACGUGGUCGCUAGCCUUUACCGUGUAAAGCCCCUUCGACGAGUCGAGUUGUUUGGGAAUGCAGCUCUAAAUGGGAGGUAAAUUUCUUCUAAAGCUAAAUACUGGCCAGAGACCGAUAGCGCACAAGUAGAGUGAUCGAAAGAUGAAAAGCACUUUGGAAAGAGAGUUAAAAAGCACGUGAAAUUGUUGAAAGGGAAGCGCUUGCAGCCAGACUUGCCUGUAGUUGCUCAUCUAGGUUUCUACCUAGUGCACUCUUCUAUAGGCAGGCCAGCAUCAGUUUGGGCGGUUGGAUAAAGGUCUCUGUCAUGUACCUCUCUUCGGGGAGAACUUAUAGGGGAGACGACAUGCAACCAGCCUGGACUGAGGUCCGCGCAUCUGCUAGGAUGCUGGCGUAAUGGCUGUAAGCGGCCCGUCUUGAAACACGGACCAAGGAGUCUAACAUCUAUGCGAGUGUUUGGGUGUCAAGCCCGAGCGCGUAAUGAAAGUGAACGGAGGUGGGAACCUUUCGGGGUGCACCAUCGACCGAUCCUGAUGUCUUCGGAUGGAUUUGAGUAAGAGCAUAGCUGUUGGGACCCGAAAGAUGGUGAACUAUGCUUGAAUAGGGUGAAGCCAGAGGAAACUCUGGUGGAGGCUCGCAGCGGUUCUGACGUGCAAAUCGAUCGUCAAAUUUGGGCAUAGGGGCGAAAGACUAAUCGAACUAUCUAGUAGCUGGUUCCUGCCGAAGUUUCCCUCAGGAUAGCAGUAACGUUUUCAGUUUUAUGAGGUAAAGCGAAUGAUUAGAGGCCUGGGGGUUGAAACAACCUU